AAGGGAGACCUAAUUCGGGUAUAAGACGAAAAAAGAGUAGUCGAAACCAAGAAUCAAUCCCAAAAGGUCGGAACGAGGUAUGUGGCUUUCAAACUAGGUUCUGGGUUCACACAAGACCUGAAUCAGGAACAAGGGCUAUUAGCUCAGGUGGUUAGAGCGCACCCCUGAUAAGGGUGGGGUCCCUGGUUCGAGUCCAGGAUGGCCCACCUGCACAGGUGGCAAAAACAAAGAAGCGAGGAAUCAGCACCUUAUCUUACCUAUAUAUAAGAGAGAAUGCUGGCUCUGAGUAAAGAGUCCAGAGGAACCUUGAAAACUGCAUAGAGCUAGGUGAAAAAGCCAAAAAAGAAGACCGCAA
rnacentral:tRNA from 1 species